rnacentral:tRNA from 1 species
CGGCAGGUACUCAAGUAGUCAACGAGAUGGCGCUGUAAACGCCACGGCUUAGCCUUCGUGGGUGCAAAUCCUACCCUGCCGA